GACGAACGCUGGCGGCGUGCUUAACACAUGCAAGUCGAACGGAAAGGCCUGCUUUCCCUUGUGGAUUGCGGGUACUCGAGUGGCGAACGGGUGAGUAACACGUGAGUGAUCUGCCCCCAACUUGGGUAUAAGCCUGGGAAACUGGGUCUAAUUCCCGAUAGGACUGCAGGGUGGUGCCUGUGGUGGAACACGAUUUUCUAGUGGUUGGGGAUGAGCUCGCGGCCUAUCAGCUUGUUGGUGGGGUAAUGGCCUACCAAGGCGGCGACGGGUAGCCGGCCUGAGAGGGUGGACGGCCACAUUGGGACUGAGUCACGGCCCAGACGCCUACGGGAGGCAGCAGUGGGGAAUAUUGCACAAUGGGCGGAAGCCUGAUGCAGCGACGCCGCGUGGGGGAUGACGGCCUUCGGGUUGUAAACUCCUUUCGACCGCGAGGAAGCCACCUGGUUGGAAGGGUGGUGACGGUAGUGGUAGAAGAAGCACCGGCUAACUACGUG
rnacentral:rRNA from 1 species